GAACGCUGGCGGCGUGCCUAAUACAUGCAAGUCGAACGAACUUCCGUUAAUUGAUUAUGACGUACUUGUACUGAUUGAGAUUUUAACACGAAGUGAGUGGCGAACGGGUGAGUAACACGUGGGUAACCUGCCCAGAAGUAGGGGAUAACACCUGGAAACAGAUGCUAAUACCGUAUAACAGAGAAAACCGCAUGGUUUUCUUUUAAAAGAUGGCUCUGCUAUCACUUCUGGAUGGACCCGCGGCGUAUUAGCUAGUUGGUGAGGUAAAGGCUCACCAAGGCAGUGAUACGUAGCCGACCUGAGAGGGUAAUCGGCCACAUUGGGACUGAGACACGGCCCAGACUCCUACGGGAGGCAGCAGUAGGGAAUCUUCCACAAUGGACGCAAGUCUGAUGGAGCAACGCCGCGUGAGUGAAGAAGGGUUUCGGCUCGUAAAGCUCUGUUGUUAAAGAAGAACGUGGGUAAGAGUAACUGUUUACCCAGUGACGGUAUUUAACCAGAAAGCCACGGCUAACUACGUGCCAGCAGCCGCGGUAAUACGUAGGUGGCAAGCGUUAUCCGGAUUUAUUGGGCGUAAAGCGAGCGCAGGCGGUCUUUUAAGUCUAAUGUGAAAGCCUUCGGCUCAACCGAAGAAGUGCAUUGGAAACUGGGAGACUUGAGUGCAGAAGAGGACAGUGGAACUCCAUGUGUAGCGGUGAAAUGCGUAGAUAUAUGGAAGAACACCAGUGGCGAAGGCGGCUGUCUGGUCUGCAACUGACGCUGAGGCUCGAAAGCAUGGGUAGCGAACAGGAUUAGAUACCCUGGUAGUCCAUGCCGUAAACGAUGAUUACUAAGUGUUGGAGGGUUUCCGCCCUUCAGUGCUGCAGCUAACGCAUUAAGUAAUCCGCCUGGGGAGUACGACCGCAAGGUUGAAACUCAAAAGAAUUGACGGGGGCCCGCACAAGCGGUGGAGCAUGUGGUUUAAUUCGAAGCUACGCGAAGAACCUUACCAGGUCUUGACAUCUUCUGACAGUCUAAGAGAUUAGAGGUUCCCUUCGGGGACAGAAUGACAGGUGGUGCAUGGUUGUCGUCAGCUCGUGUCGUGAGAUGUUGGGUUAAGUCCCGCAACGAGCGCAACCCUUAUUACUAGUUGCCAGCAUUAAGUUGGGCACUCUAGUGAGACUGCCGGUGACAAACCGGAGGAAGGUGGGGACGACGUCAAAUCAUCAUGCCCCUUAUGACCUGGGCUACACACGUGCUACAAUGGAUGGUACAACGAGUCGCGAGACCGCGAGGUUAAGCUAAUCUCUUAAAACCAUUCUCAGUUCGGACUGUAGGCUGCAACUCGCCUACACGAAGUCGGAAUCGCUAGUAAUCGCGGAUCAG
rnacentral:rRNA from 1 species